AAUUGCUCUGCAGAUGAACUUGUUCCUCAAGGAGUCAACCUUGAGAUGAACAUCCUCUCAGGGGUACCCUGAGAGGCAUCCCAGCUCAGGGGGAGAUCGAGGGUGCAGCCUACUGCAGUCC